ACAUAAAACAUGGUUGGACUUAUAAUUUAACUGGUUUGGUAAAGAUAGUGGACUAAUGACACUAACUAAUAUUAGUAUGUUCACUAGCUUUGACUCCUAAAAGACGUUAAACUCUUUAUAAUAGAAAAGUAACGAAAAUUCAUAAACAAGGGGUUUAGUUAUCGUUUACUUCGAAUUAUUAAACCGUAUAGUCUUAGUUACGUAGUAGUUGUUAAUAUUACCAACGACGUAGCACUAAAGCUUUUAUUUAACGGUUUAGGUCCCAAUUUCAUAAGCGGAACGUUCGAUUAAGACAGCGAAAAUUCUCCGUUACAAGACUAGGUGUGCUGGUGCUGCUGCAUAAUCUCGAGCAUACGGGGACUAGGCUUGGGUAUUUACAUUUAAAGCAUUUUGAAAUAAGUAUUAUUGGUUUUUCUAAGACUUAUAUAUGGUUUGUGGUUUGAAUGAAAGGGGUCAUUGAUGAUUCCCGAGUUGUAUUUAUA